AUUGAACGCUGGCGGCAGGCCUAACACAUGCAAGUCGAGCGAGCGGCGGACGGGUGAGUAAAGUAUGGGGAUCUGUGCGUUAGAGGGGGGUAACACUUGUAGACGGUAGCUCAAAUCCCAUAUUCUCUGAUGAACGCAUAGGGGAUUAGAUCGUAGGUGGGGUAAUGGCUCACCUCGGCGACGAUCCCUAGCUGGGCUGAGAGGAUGAGCAGCCACACUGGGACUGAGACACGGCCCAGACUCCUACGGGAGGCAGCAGUGGGGAAUAUUGCACAAUGGGCGCAAGCCUGAUGCAGCCAUGCCGCGUGUAUGAAGAAGGCCUUAGGGUUGUAAAGUACUUUCAGUGGGGAGGCGUUACCGACAGAAGAAGCACCGGCUAACUCCGUGCCAGCAGCCGCGGUAAUUC
rnacentral:rRNA from 1 species